AGUGAACGCUGGCGGUAGGCCUAACACAUGCAAGUCGAACGGCAGCACAGUAAGAGCUUGCUCUUACGGGUGGCGAGUGGCGGACGGGUGAGGAAUACAUCGGAAUCUACUUUUUCGUGGGGGAUAACGUAGGGAAACUUACGCUAAUACCGCAUACGACCUACGGGUGAAAGCAGGGGAUCUUCGGACCUUGCGCGAUUGAAUGAGCCGAUGUCGGAUUAGCUAGUUGGCGGGGUAAAGGCCCACCAAGGCGACGAUCCGUAGCUGGUCUGAGAGGAUGAUCGGCCACACUGGAACUGAGACACGGGCCAGACUCCUACGGGAGGCAGCAGUGGGGAAUAUUGGACAAUGGGCGCAAGCCUGAUCCAGCCAUACCGCGUGGGUGAAGAAGGCCUUCGGGUUGUAAAGCCCUUUUGUUGGGAAAGAAAAGCAGCAGGUUAAUACCCCGCUGUUCUGACGGUACCCAAAGAAUAAGCACCGGCUAACUUCGUG
rnacentral:rRNA from 1 species